AUGCCCUCCGUCGUCACCCCUUAAAACCUGUUACCCGCUUUCGGACUAGGUCGGUACGGCGCACGUCCUACUUCCGGAAGCCCAACAUUUGACGAAAACAUGCCUUGCUUUGCCGGAAAAGAUUAUUUCUCCCGAUUACUGCCAUGGCAUUCUUAUUCGUGGCCGAUUGAUGCACGGUCGUCGGCGCCAUUAUGCAUCCCACGUUCGCAAUUAGCCUUAAUGACCCGCAUUUCGCACGCGUCCGCCAAUACAUUCUGUCAACACUUUAGGGGCCCGAGUUGGACCCUUGACGUAGACACUGACGUAUCGAUCUCAUGCCAUCUCCCCCUACCUUAAGGCGCACAUCGUCACUUUACGCAUCUAUACGCCUCCUUGUGGCUACCGCUUCCGUUAGGGGACCUGGACAUGACUGCGAGUACGUGCUUUCGCACCCCUCGUUUGUCCUAAUCUAUGGGACCAUCAGGUGCGGG
rnacentral:rRNA from 1 species